rnacentral:tRNA from 1 species
AGCCUCGGGGUGUAAGCACGUUAGAUUGCAAAUCUUAAGAAGCCGGCUAAUCCCCGGCCGGGGCUU